UACGUAGGGUGCGAGCGUUGUCCGGAAUUACUGGGCGUAAAGAGCUCGUAGGUGGUUUGUCGCGUUGUCCGUGAAAACUCACAACUCAAUUGUGGGCGUGCGGGCGAUACGGGCAGACUGGAGUACUGCAGGGGAGACUGGAAUUCCUGGUGUAGCGGUGGAAUGCGCAGAUAUCAGGAGGAACACCGGUGGCGAAGGCGGGUCUCUGGGCAGUAACUGACGCUGAGGAGCGAAAGCGCGGGGAGCAAACAGG
rnacentral:rRNA from 1 species